rnacentral:snoRNA from 1 species
AAGUAACACUCAGUGGCAGAUGACCAAAACUGUCACAAUUUGCGUUUGCUAAAGCAAGAAAAUCUAACCUAUUCUGGAAUUGAUUAUCAGUGAGACAAGUUGUUAUAUAGACUCAAAUAGU